rnacentral:lncRNA from 1 species
AGACGUGGCGGCCUCUAGACCAGUAGCUCCGGUACACUAAUUUAGCUUCGCAGAUAGACUGGAGGUGGCCGACAACUCGACAGCCAGAUUUCGUGGGCAGCAACUCUUCCACCUCUCCAACCGUCCACGUGUCCCACUUACUAAACGACCGAUCAUGCAUUCCGUACGCCCCAACUUAAAAUCCCCUUUCCACCCUUCCUUCAUCGCCAUUGAACCAAGGGCACUUUCGAGUUUCAAGCUUUUCGAUGGCACCGCGUGUAAUUCCAGAAACAAUCACGGGCAGUCCCGUCAAUUUCAAGGUAUCCUGCUCUGUAAAAGAUUUCCAAGGGGAUAUUUGUCAGUGAGUUCAGAUCUUCUGCUUCUUCUUCUUCUUCUUCUUCUUCUCUCUCUUCCUGUUUCCGUACCCAAAAGGCAAAAAUUUGAAAUCCUUGAUCCUCUGUUCGGUUAAUGUUACAGGUAAUUGGUAGCUACGGAGGAGGUUGAGAAAUGCAAGACAUCCACUCAAUUGGCGGGGGGGGG